AUGAUUACUUUUGUCCAGUGAGCAUGCUCUCAGGUCUAGAGACUAAGCAUCCUGAUCUGACGUAUCCAGGAAACCCAGGACUCUCCUCCAUCCAUACUCCCUCAUCCACACUGAGACCUGAGGCAGGUGCUCCUUCCUGCUCUUUAUCAAGGUUCCCAGAGCAGCAAUAGACUUUGAUUCACCAUUCUCUCUCCACCUCACAUGUAGGACACAUACCCUCUGUCCCAUGACACAAUGGGUUAUACUCCUGGACAAGCACUAAGGACAUGAGCUCUCAGUGGCUUUGCCAUCACUCCACAGCCAUGGACUCUAACCCUCUGGACCCAGAAGCCCAAAUAAACACUCUGUGUUAUUGGUUGUCACA